AUUGAACGCUGGCGGCAUGCCUUACACAUGCAAGUCGAACGGCAGCACGGGAGCAAUCCUGGUGGCGAGUGGCGAACGGGUGAGUAAUAUAUCGGAACGUGCCCAGUCGUGGGGGAUAACGUAGCGAAAGCUACGCUAAUACCGCAUACGAUCUAUGGAUGAAAGCGGGGGAUCGCAAGACCUCGCGCGAUUGGAGCGGCCGAUAUCAGAUUAGGUAGUUGGUGAGGUAAAGGCUCACCAAGCCGACGAUCUGUAGCUGGUCUGAGAGGACGACCAGCCACACUGGGACUGAGACACGGCCCAGACUCCUACGGGAGGCAGCAGUGGGGGAAUUUUUGGACAAUGGGCGCAAGCCUGAUCCAGCAAUGCCGCGUGCAGGAUGAAGGCCCUCGGGUUGUAAACUGCUUUUGUACGGAACGAAACGGUGAGCUCUAAUACAGUUUGCUAAUGACGGUA
rnacentral:rRNA from 1 species